rnacentral:rRNA from 1 species
CAGUAGCCGCGGUAAAACGAAGGGUGCAAGCGUUAAUCGGAAUUACUGGGCGUAAAGCGUGCGUAGGCGGUGAGUUAAGUCUGCUGUGAAAUCCCCGGGCUCAACCUGGGAAUGGCAGUGGAUACUGGCUCGCUAGAGUGUGUCAGAGGAUGGUGGAAUUCCCGGUGUAGCGGUGAAAUGCGUAGAGAUCGGGAGGAACAUCAGUGGCGAAGGCGGCCAACUGGGACAACACUGACGCUGAGGCACGAAAGCGUGGGGAGCAAACAGGAUUAGAUACCCCAGUAGUCCCUGUCUCUUAUAA